rnacentral:rRNA from 1 species
GGUUCACUCUGGGGGCGUGCCUAACACAUGCAAGUCGAGCGGGGAACCCUAAGGCCCCUUUGGGGUACGGCUUCCCAGCGGCAAACGGGUGAGUAACACGUGGGUGACCUGCCCCGAAGAGGGGGAUAACCCUGGGAAACUGGGGCUAAUACCCCAUGUGCUUCGUGGGGUUAGAGGACCACGAAGUAAAGGGUGUGGUUAGCCGAAAGGCGCCACGCCGCUUCGGGAGGGGCCCGCGGCCCAUCAGGUAGUUGGUGGGGUAAUGGCCUACCAAGCCUAUGACGGGUAGCCGGCCUGAGAGGGUGUCCGGCCACACGGGGACUGAGACACGGCCCCGACUCCUACGGGAGGCAGCAGUGGGGAAUCUUGGGCAAUGGGCGAAAGCCUGACCCAGCGACGCCGCGUGGGGGAAGAAGCCCUGCGGGGUGUAAACCCCUUUUCGGGGGGAAGAGUAAGGACGGUACCCCCGGAAUAAGGGCCGGCUAACUACGUGCCAGCAGCCGCGGUAAAACGUAGGGCCCGAGCGUUACCCGGAAUCACUGGGCGUAAAGCGCACGCAGGCGGCCUGGUAAGUCGGGCGUGAAAUCUCCCAGCUCAACUGGGAGGGGCCGUCCGAUACUGCUGGGCUUGAGGGCGGGAGAGGGAGGUGGAAUUCCCGGUGUAGCGGUGAAAUGCGUAGAGAUCGGGAGGAACGCCAGUGGGGAAGCCGGCCUCCUGGCCCGUCCCUGACGCUCAGGUGCGAAAGCCAGGGGAGCGAACGGGAUUAGAUACCCCGGUAGUCCUGGCUGUAAACGGUGGGUGCUAGGUGUGGGCGGCGUUGACCCCGUCCGUGCCGAAGGUAACCCGUUAAGCACCCCGCCUGGGGACUACGGCCGCAAGGCUAAAACUCAAAGGAAUUGGCGGGGGCCCGCACAAGCGGCGGAGCGUGUGGUUUAAUUCGAUGCUAACCGAAGAACCUUACCCGGGCUUGACAUGCGGGUGGUACCGAACCGAAAGGGGAGGGACCCGUUUAGGGAGCCCGCACAGGUGCUGCAUGGCUGUCGUCAGCUCGUGCCGUGAGGUGUUGGGUUAAGUCCCGCAACGAGCGCAACCCUCGCCCCUAGUUACAUGUGUCUAGGGGGACUGCCGGCUUAACGCCGGAGGAAGGUGGGGACGACGUCAAGUCAGCAUGGCCUUUAUGCCCGGGGCUACACACACGCUACAAUGGCCGGGGCAAUGGGUUGCCAAGCCGCGAGGCGGAGCUAAUCCCAUCAAACCCGGUCUCAGUUCGGAUUGCAGGCUGCAACCCGCCUGCAUGAAGCCGGAGUCGCUAGUAACCGCAGGUCAGCCAUACUGCGGUGAAUACGUUCCCGGGCCUUGCACACACCGCCCGUCACGUCAUGGGAGUCGGCAACACCUGAAGCCGGUGGCCUAACCCCCGAAAGGGGGAGAGAGCCGUCGAGG